UACGUAGGGGGCAAGCGUUGUCCGGAUUUAUUGGGCGUAACGAGCGUGUAGGCGGCCAAGCAGGUCCGCUGUGAAAACUCGAGGCUCAACCUCGAGACGUCGGUGGAAACCGUUUGGCUAGAGUCCGGAAGAGGAGAGUGGAAUUCCCGGUGUAGCGGUGAAAUGCGCAGAUAUCGGGAAGAACACCCGUGGCGAAGGCGGCUCUCUGGGACGGUACUGACGCUGAGACGCGAAAGCGUGGGGAGCGAACAGG
rnacentral:rRNA from 1 species